GUCUUUUUGAGUUAUUUUUAAAGUCUGACCUGCCCACUGAUUUUUUAAAUGGCCGCAGUAUUCUAACUGUGCAAAGGUAGCAUAAUCAUUAGUCUUUUAAUUGAAGGCUGGUAUGAACGGUUGGACGAGGUAUAAGCUGUUUCAUAUAAAUUUAUAGUAGAAUUUUAUAUUUUAGUCAAAAAGCUAAAAUAUAAUUAAAAGACGAGAAGACCCUAUAAAUCUUUAUAUUUUAUAUAAUUUAAAUUUUUUAGAUUUAUUUUAUUUUUAUUAUAUUGAAUAUUUUGUUGGGGUGAUAUUAAAAUUUAAUGAACUUUUAAUUGUAUUUAAGUCAUUAAUUUAUGAAUUAUUGAUCCAUUAAUAGUGAUUAUAAGAUUAAGUUACUUUAGGGAUAACAGCGUAAUUUUUUUGGAGAGUUCAUAUCGAUAAAAAAGUUUGCGACCUCGAUGUUGGAUUAAGAUAUAAUUUUAGGUGUAGCCGCUUAAAUGUUAAGUCUGUUCGACUUUUAAAUUCUU
rnacentral:rRNA from 1 species